GUGAAUCAUCGAAUCUUUGAACGCAAAUUGCACUCUCUGGUAUUCCGGAGAGUAUGCCUGUUUGAGGGUCAGUUUAAAUAAAAAUCGGUGUGGUUGCUGCCUUUCGUGGUGACGCACCGGAUGUGGGUCGUCUGCCCUUGGGUAAGGUACCUAAAAAUUUGCAUGGUUUUUUUGGAAGGAAUUAAAUGGAUUUUAGUAAGGUUGGCAUUAUCAAUACUA
rnacentral:misc_RNA from 1 species